UACGUAGGGUGCAAGCGUUAAUCGGAAUUACUGGGCGUAAAGCGUACGCAGGCGGCUUUGCAAGACAGGUGUGAAAUCCCCGGGCUUAACCUGGGAACUGCAGUCGAGACUGUCUAGCUAGAGUAUGGGAGAGGGAAGUGGAAUUUCAGGUGUAGCGGUGAAAUGCGUAGAUAUCUGAAGGAACAUCAGUGGCGAAAGCGACUUCCUGGACCAAUACUGACGCUCAUGUGCGAAAGCGUGGGGAGCAAACAGG
rnacentral:rRNA from 1 species